rnacentral:lncRNA from 1 species
UUGCAAAUCCAAUGAAAAUAGUUGAUGAUAAGUGAGAUAUCAAACGAAAAGCUUUUGAUAUGAUAACAAAAAGAAGUAAUUCAGAUUGAGCUAAUGACCACAUGAUAGUCUUAAGAUGUGAAAGAUAGAUGGUAGGAAAUCAUUUUCAUUCACUCUCUUCUGAAUCAUCACCACUACUGUCUUGUGAAUCAAUUUUCAUAGCCUUCACAACAUUGCUUGCUUUAAAAUCUUCAACAGCCUUGUCAAAAGUGCACCUCACAUGCCUACACAUCAACAUUAGAUUUUGACAUGCAUCUUUCAAUACCUCUCUUGCUGGAUCACCUACAAAUUUUCACAUAGAACAACUAAAGGAACUUGAACCCAACCAAAGUACUUGAAAAAGAGUGUUAUAUUGAGUUUACCAGUGGUUUGAACUAUAAUAUUAACUCGAGCCUCUAAAGGAUGAGGAAUACUGUAGCCACAGGAUGUAACCCUUGAGCUGCAUAACAUAAAAAUGAUAGCUUCCACUUUCAAUACAAUCACUUAAAACAAAGAAAACCCAGCAUGAAUCAAAGCCAAAAACAGAGGUGAGUGAACUGACUCUUGAUUCAAAGUGAAUCUAACAACGUUAGCUAUGGUAUGAUCUUCAUCAGUUAAAGAAAAAGUGGCAGGACUAUUAUCAGUGAAAGACCCGUGUUCUAUUGUUUCCUUUAAUCCAAUUUCUAGAUUUCCAAACCAAGAAACAAAACUAUUAAAAGGAUGAAAUUUAAUCCAAUAAUCAUUGGGAAAACAUAUUUUUAAAUAAAAAAUAAGGUUGUAUCUUCCUUACCGGUUCCAAUGGACAGAACAUAGUUUCACCGAUAGAGAGGAACAGAAAACGUGAGAAGGAGGCUGCUUUCUGAUUGGUGUUCAAAGUCCAGUUGUAACGCCAAAGAGAGGUAAGACAGAAAGGUAGAAGCGUGAAUCGGUGGAGAUAGAAAGGUAAGACAGAAAUGUGAGGAGAGUGGAGAAGAAAGGUAGAAGGAAGAAACAGAAUACGGUGGAUUUUGGGUAAGACAGAAGCGUGAAUCAGGAGGGUAAAACAGGGACCAAAACUCAAUCCAGACCUAAACUGAGCAC